GACGAACGCUGGCGGCGUGCUUAACACAUGCAAGUCGAACGGAAAGGCCCUGCUUUUGUGGGGUGCUCGAGUGGCGAACGGGUGAGUAACACGUGAGUAACCUGCCCUUGACUUUGGGAUAACUCCAGGAAACUGGGGCUAAUACCGGAUAGGAGCUCCUGCUGCAUGGUGGGGGUUGGAAAGUUUCGGCGGUUGGGGAUGGACUCGCGGCUUAUCAGCUUGUUGGUGGGGUAGUGGCUUACCAAGGCUUUGACGGGUAGCCGGCCUGAGAGGGUGACCGGCCACAUUGGGACUGAGAUACGGCCCAGACUCCUACGGGAGGCAGCAGUGGGGAAUAUUGCACAAUGGGCGGAAGCCUGAUGCAGCAACGCCGCGUGUGGGAUGACGGCCUUCGGGUUGUAAACCGCUUUCGCCUGUGACGAAGCGUGAGUGACGGUAAUGGGUAAAGAAGCACCGGCUAACUACGUG
rnacentral:rRNA from 1 species